AGCUCCUAAAAUGAGCAAAUAAGCUGUGCAUCAUCUCUGUGAUUUGGGAAGGAAAUGACUGAAUAUGAUGAAGCCAGUUGAUGAAGAUAUCAAUUGAAUGGCCACCGAGUGCAUCACUGCUACCUGAACCCAUCAGUUAUCUGCUGUGAAGACUGCAUUCACAAACCGCUCUACUGCGACAGCUCAGAUGUUACGGCCUGUAAAAGUAAACAUCACAGCUAAACAACGAGAGCUAGUUGUGGUGGGAUUCUUUUGGCCAAUAUCCCCAACAAGAAUCAAUGACAUCUAGACCAGGUGGAGUGUGAGGAGGACCGUCAGAGACUCCAGCCAGCCGAGCCAUGGAUUGCUCUCACUGUUACCAUCAGGCAUGCGUUAUCACAGAACCUACACCAGCAGACAGUGAGACAAGUUCCUUUCACAGGCAAUCAGACUGAACUGAACUCAUACCAGUAAAACCAUACACACCCCACCAACCUCAUAUGCCCUGCACUCUUAUCAGUUAUGCUGACUGGACUCAAUAUUAUUAUGCACCCUGACAUUCUGUUUGCACUAAUUCAUACCGUGCUUUACUGCAGAGAUGUAUGUGUACUGUGAUUAUUAUUGUUUUCAAUUCAUGCUCUCUGUAUAGCAUAAUUUUUAACAUAUAUUGUUCUCUACCUGAAUUGAGUCCCUUAUAUAUGUGUGUUGCAUAUAUAUAUUCAGAAUUUGUAUUACAUAUAUUCAUGAUUUUAAUUCAUUUGUCAUCCAUACUGUCACGCUGCAGUCUGCACCCAAGACUUUCAUCACCUGUAUACU